rnacentral:piRNA from 1 species
GACCCUGUUGAUCUCAUAAGCUAAUAG